UUUCGGAGGUCCCAACUUGGGUCGGGUUGGGUUCUAGUGAUCAGUUUUGGCUGAGCAUGUAUUUGGAGAUCCUAAUCAAAGUUGGGAUAUCUCCAAGAUGUUAGUCUGCCAACUAAGUCAAGGAGGUCUAAGCCGAAACUCGGGUGUCUCCAUAUAAUUUUUUGGAGUUCAUAGCUAGAGCCAGAACAUUACAAGAAAAAUGAUCUUUACCGAUGGCUAUUAGCAAUGGCAAAAUUGUCAUCAC
rnacentral:lncRNA from 1 species